AACGAACGCUGGCGGCAUGCCUAACACAUGCAAGUCGAACGAGACCUCCGGGACUAGUGGCGCAUGGGUGCGUAACGCGUCGGAACCUGCCCUUAUGUUCGGAAUAACUCUCCGACAGGGGUGCUAACACCGGAUAAUGUCUUCUAACCAAAGAUUUAUCGACCUUGGAUGGGCCCGCGUUGGAUUAGCUUGUUGGUAGGGUAAAAGCCUACCACGGCGACGGUCCAUAGCUGGUUUGAGAGGCAGAUCAGCGACACUGAGACUGGGACGCGGCCGGGAAUCCUACGCGAGGGGGGAGUGGGGGAUAUAGGAAAAUGGGCGGAGGGCUGAUCCAGCAAGGCCGGGUGAGUGAUGAAGGCGUUAGAGUUGUAAAGCUCUUUUACCCGGGAUGAUAAUGACGGUACCGAAAGAAUAAGCACCGGCUAACUCCGUG
rnacentral:rRNA from 1 species